rnacentral:sRNA from 1 species
GGUCCUAGGCUCACCUAAGCCAGAAGAGAUUCCCCUUACUUGGAUACAACCAGGAACUACUGUUCUCAACUGCUCCCAUGACUUCCUGUCAGAAAGUUUGAUUAUCAUUAGAAGAAUGGCCAUCUUUUAAAGUGAUUCAUUGACUUGUCCCUGGAGAAAUCAUGAGUUAGAUGAGAGUGUUUAGUGGGAAGUGAAAAGACCCGUCCACGGUUUCGGAUGAGAUCCUCGUUGGACUGUGAUCCCAGGAUAUUACCCAGGCCCAGAUCGUAGACAACCUCCCAAUGGAGUCCUGCCCCUACACAGGCAGGGGGUGAAAUAAUGAUUCCCUUUCUUAAUUUUCUUUAGCCAUGAAAUUUAUUAAAAAUGUAUGUCU